UACGUAGGGCGCAAGCGUUGUCCGGAAUUAUUGGGCGUAAAGAGCUCGUAGGCGGUUCAGUAAGUCAGGUGUGAAAUCUUUGGGCUUAACCCAAAGCGUGCAUUUGAUACUGCUGUGACUUGAGUUCGGUAGGGGAGUGGGGAAUUCCUAGUGUAGCGGUGAAAUGCGCAGAUAUUAGGAGGAACACCGGUGGCGAAGGCGCCACUCUGGGCCGAAACUGACGCUGAGGAGCGAAAGCGUGGGUAGCAAACAGG
rnacentral:rRNA from 1 species